rnacentral:lncRNA from 1 species
UUUUGGUUUUGUUUUAAGUGGAAGAAAGUAUUUUUUUUUUUUUUAAGGAGAAAUCAUAUGGAUGUGAUAUAUACAAGGAUAUGCACUAGAAACCAUUUCCACCAAAUACACUUUUGUGUCAAUGUGUUGCACGCUUGAGUAUAUAUAAAGUUUUUAUAAUAUUAAUAUAUAUAAUAUAAAGUAUAAAAAAAAAAUUCGAGGCCCUCAAAAAUUGGGGGCCUUGUGCAGUGGCGCCACUUGCCCCAUGUCAAGGCCGCCCCUGGUCGUCACUCAGGCAGGCCUACUCUCUCUCUCUCUCUCUCUCUCUCUCUCUCUCUCUCUCUCUCUCU